rnacentral:rRNA from 1 species
GACGAACGCUGGCGGCGUGCUUAACACAUGCAAGUCGAACGGAAAGGCCCUGCUUUUGUGGGGUGCUCGAGUGGCGAACGGGUGAGUAACACGUGAGUAACCUGCCCUUGACUUUGGGAUAACUUCAGGAAACUGGGGCUAAUACCGGAUAGGAGCUCCUGCUGCAUGGUGGGGGUUGGAAAGUUUCGGCGGUUGGGGAUGGACUCGCGGCUUAUCAGCUUGUUGGUGGGGUAGUGGCUUACCAAGGCUUUGACGGGUAGCCGGCCUGAGAGGGUGACCGGCCACAUUGGGACUGAGAUACGGCCCAGACUCCUACGGGAGGCAGCAGUGGGGAAUAUUGCACAAUGGGCGGAAGCCUGAUGCAGCAACGCCGCGUGCGGGAUGACGGCCUUCGGGUUGUAAACCGCUUUCGCCUGUGACGAAGCGUGAGUGACGGUAAUGGGUAAAGAAGCACCGGCUAACUACGUGCCAGCAGCCGCGGUGAUACGUAGGGUGCGAGCGUUGUCCGGAUUUAUUGGGCGUAAAGGGCUCGUAGGUGGUUGAUCGCGUCGGAAGUGUAAUCUUGGGGCUUAACCCUGAGCGUGCUUUCGAUACGGGUUGACUUGAGGAAGGUAGGGGAGAAUGGAAUUCCUGGUGGAGCGGUGGAAUGCGCAGAUAUCAGGAGGAACACCAGUGGCGAAGGCGGUUCUCUGGGCCUUUCCUGACGCUGAGGAGCGAAAGCGUGGGGAGCGAACAGGCUUAGAUACCCUGGUAGUCCACGCUGUAAACGGUGGGUACUAGGUGUGGGGUCCAUUCCACGGGUUCCGUGCCGUAGCUAACGCUUUAAGUACCCCGCCUGGGGAGUACGGCCGCAAGGCUAAAACCCAAAGGAAUUGACGGGGCCCCGCACAAGCGGCGGAGCAUGCGGAUUAAUUCGAUGCAACGCGUAGAACCUUACCUGGGUUUGACAUGGAUCGGGAGCGCUCAGAGAUGGGUGUGCCUCUUUUGGGGUCGGUUCACAGGUGGUGCAUGGCUGUCGUCAGCUCGUGUCGUGAGAUGUUGGGUUAAGUCCCGCAACGAGCGCAACCCUUGUUCACUGUUGCCAGCACGUUAUGGUGGGGACUCAGUGGAGACCGCCGGGGUCAACUCGGAGGAAGGUGGGGAUGACGUCAAGUCAUCAUGCCCCUUAUGUCCAGGGCUUCACGCAUGCUACAAUGGCUGGUACAGAGAGUGGCGAGCCUGUGAGGGUGAGCGAAUCUCGGAAAGCCGGUCUCAGUUCGGAUUGGGGUCUGCAACUCGACCUCAUGAAGUCGGAGUCGCUAGUAAUCGCAGAUCAGCAACGCUGCGGUGAAUACGUUCCCGGGGCU